GAUUUUUAACUGCAGAAAAACAUUUGAUCAUAAAAGCUGUUGUGUUAAACCAAUAUGGAUAUUUUAAAGGUAACUUGACUUCAAAAUUUGGAUCUAAGGAUAUGUUGCUUUGGAAAGGAGGCCCUGCAUUUGUUUCCACAAAAAACAAGAGGCUAUGGUUUUGUUCCAGAUUAAGAUACAACAGAUUUGGGCUGGAAAGAUGGCUCAGCAUUUAUCAGCACUGGUUACUCUUC